rnacentral:rRNA from 1 species
UACGGAGGGUGCAAGCGUUAAUCGGAAUUACUGGGCGUAAAGCGCGCGUAGGCGGCUGGAUAAGUCGAUUGUGAAAGCCCCGGGCUCAACCUGGGAAUUGCAGUCGAGACUGUUCGGCUAGAGUGUGGGAGAGGGCAGUGGAAUUCCCGGUGUAGUGGUGAAAUGCGUAGAUAUCGGGAGGAACACCAGUGGCGAAGGCGACUUCCUGGCCUGUUCUUGACGCUGAGGCGCGAAAGCUAGGGGAGCAAACGGG